GAUGAACGCUGGCGGCGUGCCUAACACAUGCAAGUCGAGCGGCAGCGAGGGGUGCUUGCACCCCGUCGGCGAGCGGCGGACGGCUGAGUAACGCGUGGGAACGUGCCCCAAAGUGAGGAAUAACUGCCCGAAAGGGUAGCUAAUACCGCAUAUUAUCUUCGGAUCAAGGGAUUUAUCCGCUUUGGGAGCGGCUCGCGUCGGAUUAGGUAGUUGGUGAGGUAAUGGCUCACCAAGCCGACGAUCCGUAGCUGGUCUGAGAGGAUGACCAGCCAGACUGGAACUGAGACACGGUCCAGACUCCUACGGGAAGCAGCAGUGAGGAAUCUUCCACAAUGGGCGAAAGCCUGAUGGAGCAACGCCGCGUGCAGGACGAAGGCCUUCGGGUUGUAAACUGCUUUUAUAAGUGAGGAAUAUGACGGUAACUUAUGAAUAAGGAUCGGCUAACUACGUG
rnacentral:rRNA from 1 species